GGGAAACGCAUAAUGAAAUAUUAAGUAGAAAUUUUGUCUAACUAAUCGUUGAAAAAAAAAGUUGAAAGUUGUUUUUCGACUGAUCGUUAAAUCUAACGUCUUUAAUAGUAGUCGUAUUCUUAUUUAUUCUUAUUAUAUUAUUUCGUUUCUUCGCAGCGAGCACAUAGUAAUAUUAACAAUGAUUCACAGCUGGAAUCUUAAUGGGUUUUUCUAAAGGGUAUGAUUAUUUACAAUUUACCACCCAUUUUAUACGUCGGCCAAUUGAGCUUGUGCUGAUUGUAGAAAGAGAGAGAAAAACGAAGAGAGAGAGAGAAAGAGAGAGAGAGAAAGAGAGAGAGAGAGAGAGAGAGAGAGAGAGGAAAAAAAAGAAAAAAAGAAUGAAAAAAGGAAAAGAGAGAGAGAAAAAAGGAAAGAAUACUUGGACAAAAACAAGACUAAUUAUUCGAGCAAAUAAGAACGAUUCACACUUUCCCGCGCUACGUUGCAAGUAACGCACACAUUUGUAGAACGUAUUAACGUCCGCUACCUCUUGGUCGAGGUUAACCUUAAGAUCGCCUGCCGAGAAACGCACGAUGAAGAUGUAAGUAAAAACUCUCGCCGAUCGCUUCUCGUAUCUUCGUGGAAGGUCAACCGGUUUAUACCCUCGGACGACCCUGGACGGACGUCGUGGCGGGAAUUUUUGAAUUCUCGCGACUCCUUGAUUUUCCCCAAUCGUUUCUUUCAUUUUCUUUUUAUUUUAUUUUUCUUCCUUUUUUUUCUUUUCUUUUUUUUCUUUUUUUUAUUUCUUUUUCACAAGUACGAACGAACGAACGUCCUCGAAUCACUUCGAAAAGAAUCGUUCGACUUUGAUCCUAUAAAAUAGAUGUCGAUGUGAUUUUUUUUAAAUUGUUUUUCUUCCUUUUUUUGUUCUUUUUUUUAUUAUUAAAUCCCAUUGAUAUAUAUCAGAAAUAUAUGGCAAAUCAUCAGACGUGCAUGCAUUGACGAUAGAAAUAAUUUUUUUAAAUUCUCCGUUUACGGGCACUAAGACAAAUGUAAUUAACAUCAGAAACGUCAGGAUUGCGUUUUAUUAUAUCACGCGGUUCGUUCAAUUCAACCAGAUUUUCCGAUCGUUAAUGGAAGACGUCCUCCCUUUAUUAUCGUUGCCUACUUUAAGAAGAAUCUCCUAGCAGAAUCGUCGACCGUUACCGGCUAUCCGUACAUUUCCGCGUAGCGUGUUUGUCGGUUUCGAUAAGAAGGAGAGAAAAAGAGAGAAAGAGAGAGAAAGAGAGAGAAAGAGAGAGAGAGAGAGAGAGAGAGAGAGAGAAAUACAUAUACAUAUACAUAGGUAGAAAGUAUAUAGGUAUAUACGGAAUACCGUUGGUGAAACCGAAGUGCUCGUCACGCUCGAUCGGAUCUUAAAAAAAAGUGGGCUUGAAAAGCAAAAUCUCAGCAGACCUUCCCCCACUGUGUACUAUGUACAGUGACUAACUUUAAAAGUGAAUGUUAACGAGUAUGAAUCGUUACUUACAAUCGUUUCUCCCACUCUCUCUCUCUCUCUCUCUCUCUCUUUCUCUCUCUCUCUCUUUCUCUCUCUCUCUCUCUCUCCCCUUUUGUCACGCGAAUAGAUUAGAUUUUGGCGGAUCUUUAUGAGCCAAUACAGUUUAGAGAAGACAACAGUUCCGAGUCUCAGAGAGACGAGUGCGUUUGGAUGUAACCGAGUCGAGAUCCGGUGGCGACGAGAUGGUAGAAAAGCUACGGUGCUCGGCUGCCAUACGCUCGUCGUUUGCUCAUCGUGUUUGUUCACAUGUGACGACGACGACGACGACGACGACGACGACGACGACGACCAAGAGUACACGGCAUAUCAUCGUCGUCGAACAGAGAAGAAUUGCAGCAAACAUAACGACAAAUUUACGCGAAAACGAUGAUGGCGUAAUCACUUCAGGACACGUAAAAGAAAACGAACAGGACUUAGUCUCCCAUCCCUUAUCUUCAUCUCUAUCCACCAAACAACAAUAUAAUUUUUUAUCGAGUAUAAGCGUAAUAAAUAUUUUCAUUCUGAUGAUAUCUGAUUGACUGAUAUAUAAUCUAAUUUUUAUUUCCACAUUUGCGUUAUUUCUCAUCUCAUCAUUUACACGGAACACUCGUGGAGUUGAUUUUUUUUUUUUUUUUUUU